AUAAUUGAUAAUGAUCACUGGUAUACAGGAGUCACAUGGAUGACUACAUGUCUGGAAUUCUGAGAUUUAC